rnacentral:rRNA from 1 species
ACGAACGCUGGCGGCGUGCCUAAUACAUGCAAGUAGAACGCUGAAGGAGGAGCUUGCUCUUCUGGAUGAGUUGCGAACGGGUGAGUAACGCGUAGGUAACCUGCCUGGUAGCGGGGGAUAACUAUUGGAAACGAUAGUUAAUACCGCAUAACAGUAGAUGUUGCAUGACAUUUACUUAAAAGGUGCAAUUGCAUCACUACCAGAUGGACCUGCGUUGUAUUAGCUAGUUGGUGGGGUAACGGCUCACCAAGGCGACGAUACAUAGCCGACCUGAGAGGGUGAUCGGCCACACUGGGACUGAGACACGGCCCAGACUCCUACGGGAGGCAGCAGUAGGGAAUCUUCGGCAAUGGACGGAAGUCUGACCGAGCAACGCCGCGUGAGUGAAGAAGGUUUUCGGAUCGUAAAGCUCUGUUGUAAGAGAAGAACGAGUGUGAGAGUGGAAAGUUCACACUGUGACGGUAUCUUACCAGAAAGGGACGGCUAACUACGUG